CGACCGAGUGGCCGUCCUGCGUCUCAUCCCUCCCGUCCCCGUUUCCUGGGACUAUGGGCGUGCACCACCACACCGGGUGUCGUCUCACACGUCGAGGUGAUCUCAAACGUCUACGCUCCAGCCAUCCUUCCACGUCGGCCUCCCACAGUGCUGGGAUGACACGCGUGGGCACGACGGAGUUUCACUCUUGUCGCCCAGGGUGGACUACGAUGGCGUGAUCUCGGCUCGCUGCGACCUCCGCCUCCCGGGUUCGAGUGAUCCUCCUGCCUUGGCCUUCCCGAGGAGCUGGAAUGACGGUGAAGCGCCAUCGUGCCCGGCUGACUUUUAUAUUUUUAGUACAGAUGGGGUUUCUCCGUCUUGGUCAGCCUGGUCUUGAGCUUCCGAACGUUGGACGAUUUUAACUUUCUUGGUGGUUGCUUUUCUCUUUCUUUUUCUUUUCUUUUCUUUCCUUCUCCUCCCCCCACCCACUCCCCCUGUCCUCCUCGUCCUCCUCGUCCUCGUCCUCCUCCUCCUCCUCCUUUUUCAUCUCUUUCAGCUGGGCUCUCCUACUUGUGUUGCUCAGUUGCUCACGCUGGUCUCCAACUCCUGCCCUUGACGCUUCUCCCGUCACACCCACCGUCUGGUUGUUGAGAUGAGCACCUCUUGUAAAAUGGAAAAGAUGAAAAAAAUAAAGACGGAGGUGAAAAGCACGGAGUGAACGUGUCUCUUGCCGUCUCCCGGGGUGUCCCUUGGACCCCGAGAGACGGAGGGAGCUUGGCUGAGUGGGUUUUCGUGGCUGAAUCCUCCCGAGGGCCUCCUUCCCUCUCCCCCUUG